AUUGAACGCUGGCGGAAUGCUUUACACAUGCAAGUCGAACGGCAGCACGGACUUCGGUCUGGUGGCGAGUGGCGAACGGGUGAGUAAUGUAUCGGAACGUGCCCAGUCGUGGGGGAUAACGUAGUGAAAAUUACGCUAAUACCGCAUACGAUCUAUGGAUGAAAGCGGGGGCUCGCAAGACCUCGCGCGAUUGGAUCGGCCGAUAGCAGAUUAGGUAGUUGGUGGGGUAAAGGCCCAACAAGCCAAAGAUCUGUAGCUGGUCUGAGAGGACGACCAGCCACACUGGAACUGAGACACGGUCCAGACUCCUACGGGAGGCAGCAGUGGGGAAUUUUGGACAAUGGGCGAAAGCCUGAUCCAGCCAUUCCGCGUGCAGGAUGAAGGCCCUCGGGUUGUAAACUGCUUUUGUACAGAACGAAAAGGUUUCUACUAAUACUAGGAGCUCAUGACGGUACUGUAAGAAUAAGCACCGGCUAACUACGUGCCAGCCGCCGCCGUAA
rnacentral:rRNA from 1 species